CCUACGGGAGGCAGCAGUGGGGGAUAUUGGACAAUGGGGGAAACCCUGAUCCAGCGACGCCGCGUGAGUGAAGAAGUAUUUCGGUAUGUAAAGCUCUAUCAGCAGGGAAGAAAGACAUGACGGUACCUUAGUACGAAGCCCCGGCUAACUACGUGCCAGCAGCCGCGGUACUACGUAGGGGGCAAGCGUUAUCCGGAAUUACUGGGUGUAAAGGGAGCGUAGACGGUAAUGCAAGUCUGGAGUGAAAGGCGGGGGCCCAACCCCCGGACUGCACUGGAAACUGUGGAACUGGAGUGCAGGAGAGGCAGGCGGAAUUCCUAGUGUAGCGGUGAAAUGCGUAGAUAUUAGGAGGAACACCAGUGGCGAAGGCGGCCUGCUGGACUGUAACUGACGUUGAGGCUCGAAAGCGUGGGGAGCAAACAGGAUUAGAUACCCCUGUAGUC
rnacentral:rRNA from 1 species